rnacentral:rRNA from 1 species
UACGUAGGGUGCAAGCGUUGUCCGGAAUUAUUGGGCGUAAAGAGCUCGUAGGCGGUUCGUCGCGUCGGCUGUGAAAUCCCGAGGCUCAACCUCGGGUCUGCAGUCGAUACGGGCGGACUGGAGUUCGGCAGGGGAGACUGGAAUUCCUGGUGUAGCGGUGAAAUGCGCAGAUAUCAGGAGGAACACCGGUGGCGAAGGCGGGUCUCUGGGCCGGUACCGACGCUGAGGAGCGAAAGCGUGGGGAGCGAACAGG